UGAGGAAUAUUGGUCAAUGGACGCAAGUCUGAACCAGCCAAGUAGCGUGCAGGAUGACGGCCCUAUGGGUUGUAAACUGCUUUUAUAUGGGGAUAAAGUGGGGAACGUGUUCCCUUUUGCAGGUACCAUAUGAAUAAGCGCCGGCUAACUACGUGCCAGCAGCCGCGGUAAUACGUAGGGCGCAAGCGUUAUCCGGAAUUAUUGGGCGUAAAGAGCUUGUAGGCGGUUCGUCGCGUCUGGUGUGAAAGCCCAUCGCUUAACGGUGGGUUUGCGCCGGGUACGGGCGGGCUAGAGUGCAGUAGGGGAGACUGGAAUUCCCGGUGUAACGGUGGAAUGUGUAGAUAUCGGGAAGAACACCAAUGGCGAAGGCAGGUCUCUGGGCUGUUACUGACGCUGAGAAGCGAAAGCGUGGGGAGCGAACAGG
rnacentral:rRNA from 1 species